GAAUAACAGCUGCUAUUCUGAAUUAACUUUGCUGUGUAGACACAUCCUAAUAGAAGACUGCACCAGCCCUGGUUCCCUAACCUGCAGCAAGUAGUUCCAAUGCAAAGUAACUUCUUUUCCAAGUGGAAAUGUUGGGCAAGCAUGGAAUAAGUACGAUAACAGAAGGAAGUGAGGAUAAAGUCCAAUUCCCGUUGACCUUGUAGCCUUAUUUGACUUCAGGCCAGAGUCCAGGAGAAUAGAUUUUUUGCACACGAAUAUAUAUUGGUCCCUUCUGCUUUAUCACAUCUGGGCUAUGUCUACAUUGGCUGAGCAAGUUACAGCACUAUAAAGCACAAGAAACUAUUAGGUCCUCCCCUUGUGGAGGUAGUUUACAUAGAGUGAAGGAAGAACACUCUCCUAGUAUUCUUGCCAUGGCCCCACAUUCACUUUAAACCAGUGCCACAGCUGCGCUUUAAUUUUAGACAUGGAUAGGAUAAUCAGAAUCUCAUUCACUUUCCUCCCCUAAAUUCUGAACAUUUGGGAGAGGGAACACAAGGUCAGUUUGCUAUCUGCUUGAUCCUUCUUUCUAUACCAGCCUAGUAAGCAAACACCAGCCAGAGAGUCUUUAAAGAUGCUAAUUUUCAAUUAAAUCUUUUUGUUUAGGCAGGCAUAGAAUGGGAUUAGCUGUGUUUUGUCCUCCUCAUUCAAAAGCUGAAAGGCUUUAAAUUAAGUUUGUUUAAAGUUUGUAUACUGACUUUGAAGAGCUAACAGUACAAAAACGACACCUGGUAGCAGCCAGAGUCCCACACAAGGCCCAGAGUCUUAUCAAAUGUCUGUGUCAAAGGUUCCCAGAUGAUCUCCCAGUAGAUUUUACUAUAGAAUUUCUUCAAUUUUUUUAAUUCAUAUCACUCUCAGAUAUAGAGAGAAAAGAUGACAAAUGCUUAUCUAUUUGAAUGUACCAAGUUAUCAUUGAAUCCAGUGCAAUAGUGUUUCCCAAAUAUUGAAACUGCGUAUUUGUCACUAAUGACCUCUAACUGUAUAGAGAAUGUUCCUUCUUUCUCCUAGCAAGAGUCAAAAAUGUCCUCUCAUCAACCAUGACUCAGGAGCAUUGAAAAUGAAAACAUCAGGUCUUUGAAUUAUGAUUCAUUCAUGACUGUCACAGCUAAAGCUGGAGAGGAAAUUGUUUGAAGAAUUGAGUGCAGCUGGUUUUGCACUUAAGCAUUAGGAGCCCUUCAGGCAGUCUGACCAGAACAGAGAGAGGUGAGGACUCCAUUUCUUAUCUGGGCUACAUCAUCACUUAUAGGGAGCUGUGAUCGAAUCCUGAGGAAGCAGACAGCCAUCCUUCUAGGAUCCUGGGGCCAUCCCGCGGGCUAUUUCUCACAGUCAACGUCUUUGUGCCAUGCUCCUCCUCCUUGGUGAAUGGGUCCCCAGACCAGGAUGAGCCAUGUGCUAUCUCCCUCCUGUAAACAGCAACCCAGUGUGGGUAAAGCAGUU